rnacentral:pre_miRNA from 1 species
AGUGGAAUAGCUGGGUCAUACAUUUGUCCCAUUCCUAGUUUCUUUGAGGAAUCUUUAUACUGCUUUCCAGAGUGAUUGCAAUAAUUUGCAUACCCACCAACUAU